CUAAGAAGCUCUGGCUGCAGGCUAGCACCUUUGUGCACCAGUGUCAGUGUAAAGUGAAAAACACUCUGCAUUUGGGGCUGAGACCACACAAGCCCCAGGAAGAAGCCACACUCUUGGACUAGAAGGGGCUGGAUGAAGCAAACUGCACCAUUUCCCAUCACAAGAGCACCCAGCUGUAACCAGCACCCACACUGCACCUCCAAUACACUUCUAGGAAUUAGACUCAGGAGGGUGAUUUGUUCGAGGAGGGCGAGCACCACACCCAGCCAUUCCCUCACACACCUCAGAGCCACAGCAGCCUUCACAGUGGGUAAGUGCUGAAUUUCAUCACCUGCACUACAGCCUGUGCUUGGGGCUGAGCUAGGCACAGCUUCAAUUGUACAUUUUCAGCAAUCUUGAGUUGCUGUUCAGAUAGCCAAAAAUCCAGACAAGGCACUUCCUACAGCCUGCAUAAACGUAUUGAUUUAUUUGAAAUUUUUCUGUCAGUGUAAAUUUUUGAAGAAGUUUGAACAGGUCCUGUCUUUAAAAUCUUUAAGUCAAAUUUAAGUGACUACUAAGGACACAAAGUACGACUCAAAAAAACCCCCAACAUCUCAUCCGAGUCACACUUUGAACCCCUCACGGGUAAAACUAAAAUUAAGUGCUGCUGUGUCUUGGGCCGCAGCCGAGUAGCAGGCAGUGAGUCUGCAGCCAGUGCAGGCCAGUGCCCGCACCCGUCCACACGGCCCCGGUGGCUGCUGCCCGGCCAUGCCCCUCCGGGAUCAGGGUAUACCGGGAUGCCUCGGGAUACUCUGGGACACCCCGGGAUGUCCCGGGAU
rnacentral:lncRNA from 1 species